AUGGAUGAUAGAUCAGCGCCUCUUCUUGCCAGACUUUGAGCCAGCAGAUUUCGAUGGGCUCGCGACCAGGUAGAUGAACCCCAGAACGAAGGAAACGACAGACACCAGUGCUCCGUACUUCGCAACAAGUUUCUGCACAUGGACAGUUUCUUAGAAUCUCACACCAGGGAAUAUCAUGGCAGCUUAUUUAUAUGGAGGAGAAAUGAAAUGAAAUUACCUUAGCCUGAACAACAAAUGACAGUGAAUCCAGAUUUCCAGAAGCAAGAGUAUCAGCCCCACAAAAUAGCAUGGAAAAAAUUAGAAUCACCAAGGAGAUAUACCAGAAUGAAAAUGCACACGAUCACUUACCCAUUCAAACUUCUUCACUGGAGGUCUUUCAGCAAGAAUGUCCAGGGGGGGGAUGGGAGUUGAGUAGGCCUCCU
rnacentral:lncRNA from 1 species